rnacentral:misc_RNA from 1 species
UACGUAGGUGGCAAGCGUUAUCCGGAAUUAUUGGGCGUAAAGCGCGCGCAGGCGGUUUCUUAAGUCUGAUGUGAAAGCCCACGGCUCAACCGUGGAGGGCCAUUGGAAACUGGGGAACCUGAGGAUAGAAGAGGAGAGUGGAAUUCCACGUGUAGCGGUGAAAUGCGUAGAUAUGUGGAGGAACACCAGUGGCGAAGGCGACUUUCUGGUCUGUAAUUGACGCUGAGGCUCGAAAGCGUGGGGAGCGAACAGG